UGUGAAGUGCCUGAAUUAAAAGGAGUAUCUUGAUAGGAUACCUAAUGCGACCCCACCCGCCUUCACAU
rnacentral:tRNA from 1 species